AAGUCGUAACAAGGUAACCGUAGGUGAACCUGCGGUUGGAUCAUUAAUGAAAAUUAGUGGCUUCGGUCCCGGUCUCGGCCGGGUCGAGCACAAACCCAACCUUUUGUGAACCGUCUUGUCUCUGGCGGCGGGGUGGGGUAAGUGGCGGACCGCAUCUGCGUCCGUCCGCCCACCUGUCAGCUUGGGGGCCCCUCGGGGUGUCCUCGCCGUGGACAAACCGCCAAACAUGUCCAAACUUACGCUGAUCUUGUCGUCUUACAUCACUCUGUUUUUAAAUACAGAAACAACUUUUGGCAACGGAUCUCUUGGCUCUC
rnacentral:misc_RNA from 1 species